AGACCUGAAAUCAGUCCUCAGAAACAACAUGGUAGAAAAGGAGAACUGACUCUUAAUGUUGUCAUUUGUGCACAUAUAUACGUGUACUCGUACAUUUAUGUACACAAAUAUAUUAAGGCAUUUUUUUAAUUAAGGCCCAAACAAGGUAGGCGGCUCUUAAGAAAGGACACCAGAAGUUGUGUUCUGGCCUCUAUACACACCCGUGUAAACACAUACACCACUCCUUACAUACAAAACACAAAAAUCAUACAUACAAGCACCCAUGCAUACAAGCACCGAGUCAUCCAACAAGAAAGCUUAGCUCACCCUGACACUGCAGUAUUUGCUUACUGACGGGUCUUAUCUCACUAGUGGAAUGAUGAUCUGCCCUCCUACAAACAAGAAGUCUUUGUUCUCAAUUAAUCCAUCAGUUCAAAAUACUCUCUUAUUCUCCGCUCAUAGAACAGAGCCACAUAAACAGAAAACUACAAUAAGCCGAAGUCUGUGUUACGAUGGACCCUUUUAGCCAAUGACAACAAUGAGGUUCAAGAAAGGAUGACGAGGGAUGGGGUUGAGCAAGCAGGAGAACAAAGGUCAAGACAGGAAGCAGCAAUAAGGAAAAUCAGGCCAAGAACAAACCACUAACCAUAUUUCAUUUAUUUGUUUCGCAUUUCAAUCUGUGAAUCUUUUGUUUCUCCUUAAACACAUAGGAGCUCUGCUUCUUUGCUGAAUUUUUCCUAACUCACUUUCACAUUUUCUUCUAAGAACCCUCCCAUUGUUGUUUAACUCAUUCUUAGUGCCUGCUUUGUGCUUCUUAAUUCUACUUCACUCCUGGUCACUAUGUCAACUCACCACCAUUUCUAUUGUAUCCUCCUCGGGUUCUUUUAUCUCAUGGAGCAGAGGUUCCCGCUUCCACCAAUGGCUUCCUCAAUAAUGCAGAGAAGAACUCUUUUUGUCCAGGAGGGAGUAGGAAAGGGGUCCAUAUUUGUUGGUCAAUAUUUUUAUUAACAUCAUGGACAAAGUUUUGUUUCAGUUUUGAUUGCCUCGUUGCUUGAUUGCAGAGUUUCUACCCAAAGAAGACAGUAAGGGAGCUAUAACUGAGUGGUGGGACCAUUGUCUGCAAAUACUGAGGACUUUAAUGACUUUUUUAUAUAACAUGAUGUUUUCUUCCUGGAAAUUCAUCCUGCCUACGAUAUCUCAUUCUCAAUCAAUUCAUAAGUUUGAACCACGAUCCACACAGCCCCUGAAAACUCACGUUUCCUGUUGCAUUGGAGUUAAAGAAACUGAGAUGAAGAGCUGCUGUCAAUAGGAUGGAGUAAAUGUGAAAUUCAAGGCUUGUAAGAUCACAGAUGCGUUGUCAGAGAAGGAGCGAGCCUAGGGACUCUGGGACAGGACUCUGGAAGGAGCAGAUGUGAUCUUGACCGUAUUUCAUAGUGUGAGAGAGCCUUUCUCACCAAGGACCCUGCUGGAUGAUGACUAGUUAAUAACCAACAGAGGCAAGUAUGCAAUAAAGAAGCCAAAAGAUAAGUGACAGGCAUGCUGGCAGAGAGCAUAUGCUCUCUCAUGGAAGAGGGGAUUGGAAGCAUCUCAAAGAAACUAAAGGUGAUAAUACUAAUAAGUAUUUACUGAAAACUACUGAUUCUCAAGCAUGGUAUUAAAUGCUCACCCAGUGCUGUUGGCCUUUGCUUAACAUGAAAUAAAGAAGAUAUUAUUCCUGACUUUUGAAAGUUACUUGCUUUUUUUUCCUAAUUAUUUUUCUCAGCCCUUUAUGACCAUAAGCUCACCUUUCCAUUUUUUUCAACACCUUCUACUUCCUGGGUCAUAGAGUCACCUCUGUCUUACCUGACCCGGUACAAUUUCCAGGGUCAGGAGUGGACUAUUCCACUUCCUUCUCUCAUUCUACUUCUGCCAACAUUAGCUGAUGUCUCUCAGAUGCCUUUGAUUUAGUUCCUGGUUCUCUUUGCUAGGAAGUCGACAUGCUUGGGCCUAGAAUACAAAGAAAGCAAAAAUGUGAAAUCUUGCCUUCACAGGACUUGCUUUCUAAGCAAUACCAAGAACUGAAAAGGCUUUUGUCUGUUUGAAAUCUCUUUACCCUGAAAGUAACAAAGCAUUAGGGACCCAGCACUCAGACAGACUUCCAGUCACUGAAGAUAAGAAAGGUUGUUACAGAUACAAACUCAGACACUACCACUGUCAAAAUGCAAAGAGCUUGGCCUAAAAGCAGCCAAUCUAGGAAACCCCUCUGGGCCUUUUUCCAUUUUAAUGGAGACUUCUUUUUUUUUAAAAAUAUUUUUGACUAUUACUUUAAUCAUGCAAAGUUAUGAUAUACUUAUAUUAAUUUGGUAUA